AAUAAAUAUAUGUAUACUUUUCUCUGCUUGCAUUUUUGGCAACUAUGUGUUUAACUGGAUUGCAAUGGACAUUUUCAACCCUGCUAUGCUCUUUUUGCGUGAAAGUGAUGCUUCUGUGACAGCAAUGAACACAUUUGCUUGGUUGAGCUCACCAUGAGGGAGAAUCAAAGACAAUGGAGAUCAACACGGAUCACAACGGAAUCUGUUAAAAAAAGAGGAUUUACCGUGUAUUACAAGACAAAGGAAAACUCUCUAGUGCUACAGCCUUUUUGAAGAAGACAAUAUUUAAUGUGGGUUUUGUUCCAUGCAGUGGUUUGUUGGUGAGCACUUACCUAUGAGAACUGUUUUUUUUUUUUUUUUUGGAUUUUUUUUUCCUCUUUGUGCCGAAAUGCUCAGAGGUGUAUAUUGAAGACAGCCAUUCCUACGCUGUGGCUCUCCGAGGACUACAGGAAACGGCAACACCCUCCCAACAGCGGACAGGACCACAGACACUGCUGUGAGACUGAGAGCACCUAGCCCCUCACUCACCGUGGAUAUGACCUUUGACCCCAGCACCCCUCCUCCACACCAACCACAGAGCCUAGGCCACCACAGCAGUGCCAGCAUGACAAUUGGCGAGCUCACUGCACUGUACAUAGUGAAUAAUGGGACAGGAUGUAGUUUUUUGUGUCACUGUACAAAGAUUUGUUUAUUGUGAUGAGUAUGUCAGAGUUUGUAAUUGUAACUUUCUGAAAAUAUUGUACUAAAAAUGCACUCAAUAAAGAUUAAUCAACUUGA